UACGAAGGGGGCUAGCGUUGCUCGGAAUCACUGGGCGUAAAGCGCACGUAGGCGGAUUUGUAAGUCAGGGGUGAAAUCCCGGGGCUCAACCUCGGAACUGCCUUUGAUACUGCAAAUCUCGAGUCCGGAAGAGGUGAGUGGAAUUCCUAGUGUAGAGGUGAAAUUCGUAGAUAUUAGGAAGAACACCAGUGGCGAAGGCGGCUCACUGGUCCGGUACUGACGCUGAGGUGCGAAAGCGAUGGGGAGCAAACGGGG
rnacentral:rRNA from 1 species